rnacentral:rRNA from 1 species
CACUCCUACGGGAGGCAGCAGUGGGGAAUAUUGGACAAUGGGCGCAAGCCUGAUCCAGCCAUGCCGCGUGAGUGAUGAAGGCCCUAGGGUUGUAAAGCUCUUUCACCGGUGAAGAUAAUGACGGUAACCGGAGAAGAAGCCCCGGCUAACUUCGUGCCAGCAGCCGCGGUAAUACGAAGGGGGCUAGCGUUGUUCGGAUUUACUGGGCGUAAAGCGCACGUAGGCGGACUAUUAAGUCAGGGGUGAAAUCCCGGGGCUCAACCCCGGAACUGCCUUUGAUACUGGUAGUCGUGAGUUCGAGAGAGGUGAGUGGAAUUCCGAGUGUAGAGGUGAAAUUCGUAGAUAUUCGGAGGAACACCAGUGGCGAAGGCGGCUCACUGGCUCGAUACUGACGCUGAGGUGCGAAAGCGUGGGGAGCAAACAGGAUUAGAAACCCGGGUAGUCCCA